UUGGAGAUGCCACUGACGGAGGGACUAUUGGCUGGAGGAACGGGAGGGACUGUUGGUAGGUGAGGGAGGUGCCAGAGGCGGUCGACGAGAGGAGAUUCAUCGGUCAGUGGUGGAGCGGAGGCUGGUUCGUCCGGUGGCAAAGGCUGGUGGCGCUGAAGACGAAGAGCCCGCCGGUAAUCAUAUCCGGCGAGGCUUGUCGACGGGAGAGGAGGAUGGAGGCAGCGAAGCAGCGGCUGGUCAUGACUCGCCGGUGAUAGAGAAGGGCGGCGGCAGGAGAGUUAUUUAGAGAGAAGAAAGAAGGUAGAGAGAGGGG
rnacentral:lncRNA from 1 species